rnacentral:rRNA from 1 species
UUUGGGGAAACUCGGACGGUUAGCGGCGGACGGGUGAGUAACACGUGGGUAACCCACCUGGGGGACCGGGAUAACGGCUCGAAAGGGCCGCUAAUACCGGAUACGCUCCCUGGGGCGCAAGCUCCGGGGAGGAAAGGUCGCGCAAGCAGCCACUCCCAGACGGGCCCGCGGCCCAUUAGCUAGUUGGCGGGGUAACGGCCCACCAAGGCGAUGAUGGGUAGCCGGUCUGAGAGGAUGACCGGCCACACGGGGACUGAGACACGGCCCCGACUCCUACGGGAGGCAGCAGUGGGGAAUCUUCCGCAAUGGGCGAAAGCCUGACGGAGCGACGCCGCGUGGGGGACGAAGGCCUUCGGGUCGUAAACCCCUGUCAGAGGGAAAGAAGGGUACCGGCGUGAACAGCGCCGGUAUUUGACGGUACCCUCAGAGGAAGCCACGGCCAACUCCGUGCCAGCAGCCGCGGUAAUACGGAGGUGGCAAGCGUUGCUCGGAAUCACUGGGCGUAAAGGGCGCGUAGGCGGGGAGGUAAGUCGGGUGUGAAAUCUCUCGGCCCAACCGAGGAACUGCGCCCGAGACUGCUUCUCUUGAGUCCCGGAGAGGAAGAUGGAAUUCCCGGUGUAGCGGUGAAAUGUGUAGAGAUCGGGAGGAACACCGGUGGCGAAGGCGGUCUUCUGGACGGUGACUGACGCUGAGGCGCGAAAGCGUGGGGAGCAAACGGGAUUAGAUACCCCGGUAGUCCACGCUGUAAACGAUGGGUGCUAGGUGUGGGGGGGGUAUCGACCCCUCCCGUGCCGAAGCUAACGCAUUAAGCA